UAAUUUAAAAAGAAAUAUUUGUCUGGGUGUGGAGUGUUGGUGUGUGUAUAGAGGAGGGAGAGACAGAGACAGAGACAGAGAGAGACAGAGAAACAGAGACAGAGACAGAGAGUUUAAAGUAUGUGUCCCAUAAGUGAGACACUGCCCAAAUUCCUAAUAUUCACAAUCUCACUAUUGUGUUAUUCGUUCCAUUCUUCACUGCAAUUCUCAAUUGCACCCAUUAGGUUCAUAUUGAAGUUCAAGCCUGAAAGAAAAAACAACAUUAUAUCACUGAUCCAGCUGGAGCUUUCAAAUAAGAAUACUUACAAAGCUGCUGCAAUUACUACAACUUUCAGAAAUUCUACUGGCUAUGAGAGUCCAUUGUACAUCCACUAAUAAAUAUGUUCUUCCAAAUGCUAACAAGUUUACAGAAUGGAGAUGCGUGGAUAACUAAGAGAAACACAGGUGAUAUUAAGUAAGGACCUGACAAGUUUAUAGCCAUGCCAAUUUCAUUUUUCCAUGGAAAUGGCCAUUAUCACUUAAACAUAUUAUUACCAUAAUUUUAAAAUAAUAGAUUACUUUAUCCUUCAUUUAUGACAUUACCUACAGAGGAAUUUAGUUUAGAGUUAGCUUAUUUUCUUUGACCUUUAGGACCACAGUAAUUUUCAUGCUUUCAUGCUUUUCUAAAUAUAUUAAUAAUUUUCUCCAUAAAAUUUAAGCUUUCUUAAUAAGCAGAUAAAAUGAACUCAAAUUUAUGCAUAUUAUUGAUAAAAUUUAUUCAGAUAUUAUUUACUUUUACUUUUUGCAUUGAUAUAAUAAAAUUGAUUACUUUUAUUUAGCCCACAUUAGAAAGCAAUAUUAGGCAACUGGAGUGGUAGGUACAGUCAGACAUAUAUACUACAGAAACAAGCAGCAACUAAUUAACCUGACACGAUUUUUCGAAUUGUCCAAGUUCAUAUGCUUAAAGUAAGUGUUUCAUUAUAUACUCUGUUCUACAUUGUUAAUAACCAGCUCAUUAAUUU
rnacentral:lncRNA from 1 species